rnacentral:lncRNA from 10 species
AUCCCAGCUCCCAGAAGGUACCUGCCCCCCAACACAGCACACAAAAGCAGACACGUGUGCACAUUCAUGUCCCAUAGCACCCCAUUCCCUAGCCUUCCCCAGACCCAUUCCUAGUCCGUCUUGAAGAGAACACUGGGGGUGGAAAGGCUGCAGGAGAAAAGGCAGGCCCCACAAUUUCCACCACCAGGCUUUGAGCUGCUUCCUCCCUUGGCCUAGGCAGAGAACUGGCCCGUACCUGCCCACCAGAAAACAGGGGAAUUACUCAAGUGCAAGAUUAAAGGCAAUAAUGAGCAAUCAGACCGAACUGGAAUGACAGUAGGGGAAGGUGAAGAGACUUUGGGAAAAGGAAGAGCACUGAAGUCAGACCUGGCACAGCCUUUUACGAGCUAUGUAAUCUCAGAGUGAGAAGAGCAACAAGAGCGACAGCGGCAGCGAGGCCAAUUGAUUAUCUGAAGAAAUUCGGAGCUAGCAGUAGAACAGCUGCAGCUUCCCCCUCUCACCACCUCCAGGCCCUCAGGGAUCCCUGAGGGGAGGGGCCCCCUAAGCCCUUCUGCUCUCCAGCCCAGGCAAAGAGACAAGAGAGGGAGGCAGGGAGCCCAGAGGACUGUGGCUGCUGAGCACAGAGAAGCACAAAGCUCUCAGGGCCAGGAAUGGAAGACUUGGCUUCUAAUCCCAGGCCAUCAUCAUGGGUGAGUCACGUCACCUGUCUGGACAGUAGUUUACCUGCCUUUGAAAUAAAGUUGUUGGAUUCAGUGAUUUCUGUG